AUUCAUCUUCGGGGUAGGGUGUAAUUCCCAACCGGCAGUAAUCUAAGCCUGCGACGACAACGUAUUAAUUUUUGCUUUGUCUUGAUUCAGUGAGAGUCUGAAGCCGACAGUAUAGUCUGGAUGGGAGAAGAUGGAG
rnacentral:ncRNA from 17 species